GAAAGGCGUAGGCGAUGGACAGCUGGUCAACAUUCCAGCACCACUGGCGAGUACCGAUGGGGUGACAGGGAAGGGUAGACACAGCGGGGCGUUGGUUGUCCCCGUGCAAACAGGUAGGGGGUUCGGUAGGAAAAUCCGCCGAACACAUACCCCGAGAGGAUGCCGAGCCCGCAAGGGCGUAGUGGUUGAUCCCAUGCUCUCAAGAAAAACCUCUAAGGGUUGAUACGCAAGUGCCCGUACCGCAAACCGACACAGGUAGGUGGGAAGAGGAUUCUUAGGCGAUCGAGAGAACCGUGGUUAAGGAACUCGGCAAAUUGUCCCCGUAACUUCGGAAGAAGGGGAGCCCCUGCCGGUGAAGGACCUCGCGUCUGGAGCCAGUGGGGGCCGCAGAGAAAUGGCCCAAGCGACUGUUUACUAAAAACACAGGUCCCUGCCAAAGCGAAAGCUGAUGUAUAGGGGCUGACGCCUGCCCGGUGCUGGAAGGUUAAGAGGAAGGGUGAGAGCCUUGAAUUGAAGCCCCAGUAAACGGCGGCCGUAACUAUAACGGUCCUAAGGUAGCGAAAUUCCUUGUCGGGUAAGUUCCGACCCGCACGAAUGGCGUAACGACUUGGGCGCUGUCUCGACCACGGACUCGGCGAAACUGAAGUACCUGUGAAGAUGCAGGUUACGCGCGGCAGGACGGAAAGACCCCGUGGAGCUUUACUGCAACUUGGCAUUGAUGUGGGGUCUAGCAUGUAGAGGAUAGCUGGGAGACUUUGAAGCGGGGCCGCCAGGUCUCGUGGAGUCAACCUUGGAAUACCAGCCUUGCUAGGUUUUAUGUCUAACCGGUGCCGUUAUCCGGUAUCGGGACCAUGUCAGGUAGGCAGUUUGACUGGGGCGGU
rnacentral:rRNA from 1 species